rnacentral:rRNA from 1 species
GAUGAACGCUGGCGGCGUGCCUAAUACAUGCAAGUCGAGCGAACAGACGAGGAGCUUGCUCCUCUGACGUUAGCGGCGGACGGGUGAGUAACACGUGGAUAACCUACCUAUAAGACUGGGAUAACUUCGGGAAACCGGAGCUAAUACCGGAUAAUAUAUUGAACCGCAUGGUUCAAUAGUGAAAGACGGUUUUGCUGUCACUUAUAGAUGUAUCCGCGCCGCAUUAGCUAGUUGGUAAGGUAACGGCUUACCAAGGCAACGAUGCGUAACCGACCUGAGAGGGUGAUCGGCCACACUGGAACUGAGACACGGUCCAGACUCCUACGGGAGGCAGCAGUAGGGAAUCUUCCGCAAUGGGCGAAAGCCUGACGGAGCAACGCCGCGUGAGUGAUGAAGGUCUUCGGAUCGUAAAACUCUGUUAUUAGGGAAGAACAAAUGUGUAAGUAACUAUGCACGUCUUGACGGUACCUAAUCAGAAAGCCACGGCUAACUACGUG